rnacentral:lncRNA from 1 species
UGGAAGAAGGGGCAGAAUAGUAUCAAAAAUGCUUCACUCCCAGGAAUGUGGUGAGCAUAAAAUUAAAUAAUGAAAAAGUCAACUAUAAAGCACUAAAUAAAUAUAAGAUGGUGAAUCUGACAGAGGAAGAAUUAAAUGACUUGCUCAAGGUCACCUUUGAGGAAUUUGCAGGAAGUUUAACUUAUGUAUAUUUUUCCCCUGUAGUACCCCAGAUGGAGUCUCACUCUGUCGCCCAGGCUGGAGUGCAGUGGCACCAUCUCGGCUCACUGCAACUUCCGCCUCCCAGGUUCAAGAGAUCGUCCUGCCUCAGCCCCACUAGUAGCUGGGAUUACAGGGAAAUCUAUUAUGGGAUGGUCUGGAUAUAUCACUUUAAAAAUCCUGCUUUUAAUGAACAAAUGAGAAAAGAGAUGAGGUUUCACCAUGCUGCCCAAGCUGGUCUCCAACUUCUGGGCUCAAGCGGUCUGCCCUCCUUGGCCUCCCAAAGUGCUGAGAUUACAGACCAAGAAAUUGAGCUACAGUGAGGUCACACAGCCGAGAUCACACAGUGAAGAGUUGGGAUUUGAGCCUGGAAUACUCUGACCUCAGAGUCUGGAUGCUAGUCUCUUGCUGCCUCCCCUGUGUUAUGAGGUCAUGUCUAAAUCACCUCCGUUACUGAAAACGCUUGUGAAAGACCUAUUCUGCUGGAUAGAGCAGUCACCUUAGUCAAGUAUGAUCCAAAUGUUGCCAUUAGGUCCUACCCAACCCCAUCAAAGAUCAGAACCUGGAGGUGUGGUAACUCCCUCCAAUCCAG